rnacentral:sRNA from 1 species
GCUUGGUGGAGUGACACACACCUAUAGUCCCAGCUUUGGGAAGCUGAGGCAAGAAGAUUGCUUGAGCCCAGGAGUUCUGGGCUGUAGUACACUAUGCUGAUCCGGUGUCUGCGCUAAGUUUGGCAUCA